GGGUUGCUAACUCAACGGUAGAGUACUCGGGCUUUAAA
rnacentral:tRNA from 1 species